rnacentral:SRP_RNA from 1 species
GCUGGGCAUGGUGGCGCAUGCCUGUAGUCCCAGCUACUUGGGAGGCUGAGGUGGGAGGAUUGCUUGAGCCCAGGAGUUCUGGGCUGUAGUGCGCUAUGCGGAUCGGAUGUCCACACUAAGUUCAGCAUCAAUGUGGUGACCUUCCGGGAGCAGGGGACCACCAGGUUGCCUAAGGAGGAGUGAACUGGCCCAGGUCAGAAACGGAGCAGGUCAAAACUCCUGUGCUGAUCAGUAGUGGGAUCAUGCCUGUGAAUAGCCACUGCACUCCAGCCUGGGCAGCAUAGCGAGACCCCGUCUCU